GAAUAUGAAGCAAUCAAUUGCAAUUAGUUUCGGCCUAAUCUUAGAUAUUAAUUUAUCCUUAUUCU
rnacentral:tRNA from 1 species